UACGUAGGGUGCAAGCGUUGUCCGGAAUUAUUGGGCGUAAAGAGCUCGUAGGCGGUCUGUCGCGUCGAAUGUGAAAACCCGGGGCUCAACCCCGGGCCUGCAUUCGAUACGGGCAGACUAGAGUUCGGUAGGGGAGUCUGGAAUUCUCGGUGUAGCAGUGAAAUGCGUAGAUAUCGAGAGGAACACCAGUGGCGAAGGCGAGUCUCUGGACGACUCCUGACACUGAGGCACGAAAGCUAGGGGAGCAAACAGG
rnacentral:rRNA from 1 species